CGCUGGCGGCGUGCCUAACACAUGCAAGUCGAACGGAGCUGCUUUGAUGAAGUUUUCGGAUGGAUUUAAAAUAGCUUAGUGGCGGACGGGUGAGUAACGCGUGGGUAACCUGCCUCACACUGGGGGAUAACAGUUAGAAAUAGCUGCUAAUACCGCAUAAGCGCACAGUUCCGCAUGGAACAGUGUGAAAAACUCCGGUGGUGUGAGAUGGACCCGCGUCUGAUUAGCCAGUUGGCGGGGUAACGGCCCACCAAAGCGACGAUCAGUAGCCGGCCUGAGAGGGUGAACGGCCACAUUGGGACUGAGACACGGCCCAAACUCCUACGGGAGGCAGCAGUGGGGAAUAUUGCACAAUGGGGGAAACCCUGAUGCAGCGACGCCGCGUGAGUGAAGAAGUAUUUCGGUAUGUAAAGCUCUAUCAGCAGGGAAGAAAGUGACGGUACCUGAAUAAGAAGCCCCGGCUAACUACGUGCCAGCAGCCGCGGUAAUACGUAGGGGGCAAGCGUUAUCCGGAUUUACUGGGUGUAAAGGGAGCGUAGACCGCAAGGCAAGUCUGAAGUGAAAGCCCGGUGCUUAACGCCGGGACUGCUUUGGAAA
rnacentral:rRNA from 1 species